rnacentral:misc_RNA from 1 species
GCAAACUUGGUCAUUUAGAGGAAGUAAAAGUCGUAACAAGGUAACCGUAGGUGAACCUGCGGUUGGAUCAUUACUGAGAUGAGGUUGUGGCAGUGCAGAUUUGCCUGUCUCACAAUCCUUUGACACCUGUGCACUGUGACUGUAUUUGGCAAGUGAGGGGCUUGAUCCCGAGUUUCACUUGGCAGGUUCUUUCUGCUGAGGGGAAAGCUUGCCGAUUUGUAUACCAUUUCAUUGAUUUGUGAGCCUGAACAUUAUGCAAAAUACAGAAUGCAUGAAACAACUUUUGGCAACGGAUCUCUUGGCUCUCGCAUCGAUGAAGAACGCAGC